AUGGCCGCUGGAUAUAGACAAGGCGAUGGACUUCGCGCCUGCAAGUUGCAAUGGCAUGGAGGGCAGGUAUUGUGUACGUCCUGCAGCACCGGCCAGAGGUCCGGGAGAGGCCGAAAGUCGGAGAGGAGGGUUCUCCAUGACAGAAGUCGGAGAGGAGGGCGGGCUGUGCCGGGCGUUGGGAAGGAAAUAGGAGGUCAAGCUGGUGGUGCGGGGGUUGGGUCUGGUCCGGGAGGAGCGCUGCCGGAGGUAGGGCCGCCUCGCCAUCACGGCCUCCGCUCCGCGCGGCAGCGCAAGACGGCGGCGGCGGCGGCGCCGUACCCGUACGCGAGGAGGAGAGCCCGUGCUUGUGCAGGUGUGUGCGUUUUUCUCUGUUUUGCACUUAAAGUAACGUGGACGCCUCGCCCUCCUCCGGCUCAGCUCGUCGUCGUCCUCCUGUCGCUCGCCGACGAGAUCGCCAUGACGCCGCUCGCUCUCCUCCCAGCUCCUCCUCCUGGCCGACCUCGCGUGUGCUCUGCCCGCCGCUUCACACACCGGGGCCGCCACCUUGCCGACGUCCCAGCGAGCCUCCCGACAGCCGUCGGCGGCAUCUCCACUCUCCCCCGCGCUUGGCUGCCCUCCGCCUCGCCCCGCCUCGCCCCGCCUGGAGCCCGGGCGUUUUCUCAGUUAAAAAGGAGCGCGAGUGGAAUUCUAAUAAAUCUAAGGGUCAAUUUGUAA
rnacentral:rRNA from 1 species